rnacentral:rRNA from 1 species
CUACGGGACGCAGCAGUGGGGAAUAUUGCACAAUGGGCGCAAGCCUGAUGCAGCCAUGCCGCGUGUAUGAAGAAGGCCUUCGGGUUGUAAAGUACUUUCAGCGGGGAGGAAGGGAGUAAAGUUAAUACCUUUGCUCAUUGACGUUACCCGCAGAAGAAGCACCGGCUAACUCCGUGCCAGCAGCCGCGGGAAUACGGAGGGUGCAAGCGUUAAUCGGAAUUACUGGGCGUAAAGCGCACGCAGGCGGUUUGUUAAGUCAGAUGUGAAAUCCCCGGGCUCAACCUGGGAACUGCAUCUGAUACUGGCAAGCUUGAGUCUCGUAGAGGGGGGUAGAAUUCCAGGUGGAGCGGUGAAAUGCGUAGAGAUCUGGAGGAAUACCGGUGGCGAAGGCGGCCCCCUGGACGAAGACUGACGCUCAGGUGCGAAAGCGUGGGGAGCAAACAGGAUUAGAUACCCCCGUAGUC